CUUGAGUGUAAGGUUUUGCUAGCAGUGGAAUGGAGAUGUGGUGUUUGAGUGAAGUUUCAGAAAUUGUGUGACAUGUAAAGAAAUACAAUUGGUGCAGCGUGGAGCAAAUGACAACAGCAUUGUCAAAGACUCUUCUGUUGCAAUGCAAUGUAAGGAGUGUCCAUUUUCUCACCCGGAUGUAGAGACCCUCCUGACCCAUUACAGGCUUCAUAACGGUCACCAGGGAAAAAGCUGGCUCUGCCUCCACCCCAAGUGCAUGUGCAUCUUUAAGACUUCAGGAUGCAGAUGCUGAGGAGGACUAGAGGCAUGAAAAUUGGAAUCUUGACCGUCAUUGAAGACGACCUCGCCAUGAAAGCACCAGACACUGUUACCAAUAUCGCCAUCGUCCUGGAAGAGACUGUUGUUCUACAGGACAUCAAGGAUCUUCCAUCUGCACUGGCCUACCUAUGGGGACUCCUGCACGACAUGGGGUGCCAAUACUUAUGACCCCUGUAUUUUAAGGAAGAACAUUUAUUUAUUUAUGAUACAUUAUUCAUUCACAAAGAAAAUUGGUGUCCUUAAAUGUUGGAUAUUCCCUCAUUUUUUAACUUAAGGCAUUAAGAUCAAUUUCUAAAAGAUGAUUUAAUAUUCCUCUUUUUAGUCAGCGUUAGCAGAGGUGCCAAUAAUUCUGGAGGGUACUGUAGGUCAGGGGUGUUCAAACUGGCUAAAAAUAAAAACAUUGUUUGAUCUAUUUGGAUUUUUGAGUUGUUAUUUAGACUUGUUUUUUCUUGUUAGAGUCAAUGUAUUAGU